rnacentral:rRNA from 1 species
AACGAACGCUGGCGGCGUGGAUUAGGCAUGCAAGUCGUACGCGAAAGAGGGGGCAACCCCUUGAGUAGAGUGGCGAACGGGUGAGUAACGCGUGAGAAACCUGCCUUCAACAGGGGGAUAACACUCCCAACGGGGUGCUAAUACCGCAUGAGACCACGGGAUCGCAUGGUCCUGAGGUCAAAGGUGGCCUCUGCUUGCAAGCUACAGGUUGAAGAUGGUCUCGCGUCCCAUUAGCUAGUUGGCGGGGUAACGGCCCACCAAGGCGACGAUGGGUAGCUGGUCUGAGAGGAUGGUCAGCCACACUGGGACUGAGAUACGGCCCAGACUCCUACGGGAGGCAGCAGUCGAGAGGCUUCGGCAAUGGGGGAAACCCUGACCGAGCGACGCCGCGUGAGGGAUGAAGGCCCUUGGGUUGUAAACCUCUUUUGUUCGGGAAGAAGUGCGAUCAGGUGAAUAAUCUGGUCGUUUGACGGUACCGGACGAAUAAGCUCCGGCUAACUCCGUGCCAGCAGCCGCGGUAACACGGGGGGAGCAAGCGUUGUUCGGAAUCACUGGGCGUAAAGGGCGUGUAGGCGGUCAGGUAAGUGAGAUGUGAAACGCCUCGGCUCACCCGAGGACCUGCAUCUCAAACUGCCUGGCUUGAGUAUGGGAGAGGAUGAGGGAAUUCCUGGUGUAGCGGUGAAAUGCGUAGAUAUCAGGAGGAACACCGGUGGCGAAAGCGCUCAUCUGGCCCAAUACUGACGCUGAGGCGCGAAAGCUAGGGGAGCAAACGGGAUUAGAUACCCCGGUAGUCCUAGCCGUAAACGGUGAGCACUAGGUGUUGGAGGCAUCGACCCCUCCAGUGCCGCAGCUAACGCAUUAAGUGCUCCGCCUGGGGAGUACGGCCGCAAGGUUG